rnacentral:rRNA from 1 species
UACGUAGGGGGCUAGCGUUGUCCGGAAUCAUUGGGCGUAAAGAGCGUGUAGGCGGUCCGGUAAGUCCGCUGUGAAAGUCGGGGGCUCAACCCUCGAAUGCCGGUGGAUACUGUCGGGCUAGAGUACGGAAGAGGCGAGUGGAAUUCCUGGUGUAGCGGUGAAAUGCGCAGAUAUCAGGAGGAACACCAAUGGCGAAGGCAGCACUCUGGGACGUGACUGACGCUGAGACGCGAAAGCGUGGGGAGCAAACAGG